GGAAGGAAAAGGCAAUGGAGAGAAGAUGCAGCCCCUGGGCUUUGUCAGGACACAGGCUGUGGUGGCAGGACACAGGGCAGAAUCUGACCCGCAGGCCGGGGAGAAACCCAGCGCCGUAUUCCGAGGGAGUUUGACAAGAUCCUGUGGUAGCUGAAAGGCAAACGGUGGGCAGGAAAAGGGGUUGUUGGACCAAGCAGCACAUUCUGCAGCACCUGGGCUUUGAGCAGGAAUCUAGCUCGCUGAAACCAAUGGACGUUGAAGUAAAGAGGGAAUCUGUUGACUGAAAUGGGUGUCUUUUAAGAGAUUGCCCAUAAAAAAAUGUACGGUGAAGUUCUCAAA